rnacentral:rRNA from 1 species
GAUGAACGCUGGCGGCGUGCUUAACACAUGCAAGUCGAACGGUGAAGCAGGAGCUUGCUCUUGUGGAUCAGUGGCGAACGGGUGAUUAACACGUGAGCAACCUGCCCCUGACUCUGGGAUACGCGCUGGAAAAGGCGUCUAAUACAGGAUAUGUGAUAUGACCGCAGGGUCUGCAUCUGGAAAGAAUUGUGGUUGGGGAUGGGCUCGCGGCCUAUCAGCUUGUUGGUGAGGUAAUGGUUGACCAAGGCCUCGACGGGUAGCCGGCCUGAGAGGGUGACCGGCCACACUGGGACUGAGACACGGCCCAGACUCCUACGGGAGGCAGCAGUGGGGAAUAUUGCACAAUGGGCGGAAGCCUGAUGCAGCAACGCCGCGUGAGGGAUGACGGCCUUCGGGUUGUAAACCUCUUUUAGCAGGGAAGAAGCGAAAGUGACGGUACCUGCAGAAAAAGCACCGGCUAACUACGUGCCAGCCGCCGCCGUAA